GUAUGAAAUGGCCAUUUGCAAAAGAAUAUAGUGCAAGAUGGAAGAAUGAAGUGACCACCUCUAGAUUCUAUUCUAACGAAACUGACAAAAACAGGAGACAAGGAAAUACUGAGUAGAAGAGGGCAGUUCCCUGGCAAAGGCCCCACCCUCAAGCCUGGAAACCUGUGGCCCUACAUGAGAACAGAUAUUCCUGUUUUUGAGCCCAAAAGUUGACUUUUGGCCUGCCACACCCCCCAUCCUGUGUCCAUGUAAACCCCAAAGUCCCAGCUCCACGAGGAAAUGAACAGAAGAGCAGAAGAAUGGCAGAACGGCAGGGCAGAGAGAAGAGAAGGAGAAUAUGAACCCCGAGAGGAGUUUGGCUGUGGAGGAGAUAGGCCACUGGAUGGCCGAACUCCAGGGGAAGGUUGUCUUCUCAUUCCAUCCCCCUUCCAGCUGCCCAUCCAUCCCACUGAGAGUCACCUCCACCAUUCAGUAAAACCCCUGCAUUCAUCCUUCAAGUCCGUAUGCCACCUUAUUCUUCCUCGAUGCCAGACAAGGACCUGGGUACCAAGAGGG
rnacentral:lncRNA from 1 species